UACGUAGGGUGCAAGCGUUAAUCGGAAUUACUGGGCGUAAAGCGUGCGCAGGCGGUUUUGUAAGUCUGACGUGAAAUCCCCGGGCUCAACCUGGGAAUUGCGUUGGAGACUGCAAGGCCAGAAUCUGGCAGAGGGGGGUAGAAUUCCACGUGUAGCAGUGAAAUGCGUAGAGAUGUGGAGGAACACCGAUGGCGAAGGCAGCCCCCUGGGUCAAGAUUGACGCUCAUGCACGAAAGCGUGGGGAGCAAACAGG
rnacentral:rRNA from 1 species